CCUACGGGCGUCAGCAGUGAGGAAUAUUGGUCAAUGGACGAGAGUCUGAACCAGCCAAGUAGCGUGAAGGAUGACUGCCCUAUGGGUUGUAAACUUCUUUUAUAAAGGAAUAAAACGAGGCACGUGUGCCGUUUUGCAUGUACUUUAUGAAUAAGGAUCGGCUAACUCCGUGCCAGCAGCCGCGGUAAUACGGAGGAUCCGAGCGUUAUCCGGAUUUAUUGGGUUUAAAGGGAGCGUAGAUGGGUUGUUAAGUCAGUUGUGAAAGGUUGCGGCUCAACCGUAAAAUUGCAGUUGAAACUGGCAGUCUUGAGUACAGUAGAGGUGGGCGGAAUUCGUGGUGUAGCGGUGAAAUGCUUAGAUAUCACGAAGAACUCCGAUUGCGAAGGCAGCUCACUGGACUGCAACUGACACUGAUGCUCGAAAGUGUGGGUAUCAAACAGGAUUAGAUACCCGUGUAGUC
rnacentral:rRNA from 1 species